UAUUUAUAUUCAAUGUUGUUUUAAUUAGCCAAAUACAACAACGUCAUUGUUAUCAGCUUUGAAUUUGUUCAUGCCACUUUAAGUUCUAAAAAUAAAUGUCUUACAUUUUUGAAUAGAAGCAGAGUUGUGCCUCCAUAGCCAAGAUUGCUGCUAACCUCAUAAUGAAUGACUGCAUUGAUUACUUUUGUAAUGCAUGUAUACCUACAAUACUCACAGGAAUGUGUUGAUCUCUAAACACUGGAUCUUAUAAUUAGGUGAUGGAAUAAAACGUUCAUCCAGAGGAACAAGAGUGAGUGUCCUCUGGGGAGCCACCCACUUAUAGCAAAGCUUAACCAGGCCAAAGAUCUAAAGGAUCAAUCAAUACCUGUCUCUCAGCUUCUACCCGACCUCAAGGUCUCAUUUAUCAAACAUUGCGUAGAAUCCUUACUAAAACCGUACUUAAGCUCAGCAAAAAAAAAAGUACUUACGUCAAGUAGGUUUGUGAUCUAUCAAACAUGAAGUACGCACAGCUGCACGCAAUCUCCGCUUCAUAAAUCAGAGACCAUCUAGAAAGGUUCUCACGCCCACUUUCUGCCAUAAAUAGUCAAUGCAAAGUGCCUUGUGGAUCUCAUGCAUACACAUAAGCCAGCUGUUGCAGCGCUCUGCCAAUGACAUGGCGACCGUAGAUCAAGGCAGAUCAAGAAAGCACAAUUUCACAAGCAGAAACUGAGGUACCUGUGGGUGAGGUGGAGAAAUGAAAGGAAGUGCUUUUGCAAAACAAAUAAGAGAAAAUCCACGGAGUGACACAGCGUUGCUGAAGCCGUCAAUGUUGUGAAUUCUUCAGAGAGAUCUGUGGCGGAUAUAAAAAAAAUGGUCCAGUCGGGAUUCUAUCCCAAGACUCCCAGGUUAAAGUCAUGCGCAUUAACCAGUCAGCCAAACAGGAAUCUCCCUUGUCCAAGUAGCCAGAGCGCAUGAUCAAUGGGGUCACAGUGACAGGACACACACGGUCACAGACGCAUGACAUUCUGUCUCAAUGUGUCCCCCUGCUGAUAUUCUGCAUUCCGUAUUCUGCGCUUUAGGCUGUGUGUGUGUGUGUGUGUGUGUGUGUGUGUGUGUGUGUGUGUGUGUGUGUGUGUGUGUGUGUUUGUGUGUGUGUGUGUGUGUGUUUGUGUGUGCCUGUGUGUGUACAUGUGCAUGUGUGUGUGCGUGUGGGGGGUCUUGUUCUGUGUGAAAAUGAAGCAGUACAAGUGAUAAUGAGAAGGAUUUUAUCCUUCUCAGCAGCAGCACUGCAGGUGCUCUCCAUGUCCAACAUGUGCGUAAGCCAGGUCCUUAGUCAACUCUUAAAGUUGUGCACAUUUUUCCGCUAAGUUUUCUUUCAUAAAUCCCAAAGUUUGCGUGGAAUGUUGCUUACGCAGUUUUCCAACCCUGUUUUGUGCGUAAGCAAGCUUGCUAAAUGAGGCCCCUGUCUACUCAUGACGAGACGGAUCCUCUCUGAUAAUCACAUGUUCUUACAGGCAUCACGAGACAUUAGGUCUGAGUUCCAUUCAUAGUAAAGAAACCUUUGGUACAAAUCUAGGACAAUGUCCUCUAAAGAAGACACUAUAUUUUAGCAUCAUCAUCUGCAGCAAAGCACAGAAACAUGCUAAAGUUACCAGGGACACUUUCUGAAGUGAUGUCUCAUGCCUCACAUACAACUGCUUACAUUUUGGGACUUAUUUGUCUUUUAUUAUUCAGCAAAUUAAAUCAGUUCAGCUAGCUGAGAGGCACCAUAGAUGCAAAGAAUAAUUACUGUGGCGCGGUUUAGAUGCACAUGUCACUUUCAGGGUCUGUGCCUCCAGUCAUAAUGGAGCUUCGACUAGACAUAUGUAAAUGUAACUGGAGAUAAACUAUAGCAAUAAAAUCUGAAUAGUGAGUAUGAUUAUGCUAUUAUAAAUAUGCGAUAAUGAACUUUGUGUUGUUAUUGCAUGUAUUUACUUAUGCUAACGUUACCUUUUUUCUGACCUUAGUUUUUCACUGCCAUGAAAAGCCGCCAUGAACUUAGAAAAAAUUGUUUUUAUUUCUUCAUUCGAACGGGCUGUUGUUGAAACUAUCCUUACAAACCCAGUCUGGACUCCUUUCAGCCUGAAAAUUAUAGAUUAAUUUCUAAACCGCCUUUUUUAUGUUAGAAAAAGUUGUGGCCGAUUACUUUUAUGGAACAAUCAACAGUUUUCAUGAAUUCCAAUCUGAUUUUAUUAAAAAGCAUCAAUCAGAAACGGCUGAAAGCUUCCAGUGAUCAUGGUGGCUGCAGACAACAGGGAGCUUACAGUCUUGGAAUUAUUAGAUCUUUCUGCAGCUUUUGACACUGUUGAUCACAGCACCUUAAAGGUGUGGUUCACUGAAAAAAAUGAUAGUCUUCUACAAUAGUCUUCUACACCUAUCUCCUACAUUAACUUCUGAUGGAAAAUGGACAGAAAAACUCUAGGAUUGUCAGGAUCUGGGGUGAGUCUGCACAUUCCUCUAAUCACCUUAAGUCAUUGCAGGUGGGCGGCUCCGGAGAGCGGCCAGCUGCGAUGAUUUCCCUCAUCUACUUCAUGUGGUUAUAAGGAGCUGGAGAUCACUUCACCUUGCCGGAAGAUUACUCAACUUGGGAAUUCUCACCACGAACCUUUCCUGCAAUAACCUGGUAUUUUCAUCUCCAAGCCUGAUCUCCCUCCUCACCCGGACCGACCCGCUCUCCCACCGCUCACCUCCCUUGGAUUUUGGAUUCACGUUGACGUUGCUCACCCCAGUCCUGGCUACCCUCCCAAGCUCUGGAUUUCAGCUCCCACAACCCAGUCCCGGAGCUGUGCUCAACAUCACCGCCACGUCUGGCGGUGCACCUUUAGUUCUCCUUAAAAUAAAACAUUUAUUUUUUCCUACCUACGUCUCCUAGUGUGAAUUCUGCAUGUCUUGGGACAGGAAACUUCCCUCAGUCAUGACAAGGAUUUAAAAAGCCUGACAGAUCUUCAUCACACGGUCAUUUAGCAUUUAUGGACUUAUCCAUCUUGACGCAUGACGGGGAAUGCUGUUGUUGGUUUAGCAUUCAGGUAACAGAAGAGAAGGUCUCGGCCAUAGAUAUGAAUAUGCAGACACCUCAUUGGUUGCUGGAAAGCGUAACAGCUUUCGUCUGUGGUAGGGCAGAAUCUGGUUUGUUUAUGAAAGUAGUCCAAUCCGGUUUACUAAGAUUGGUAAACAACUGGGAGAUAUAAAAGAAGGCAACGCCAUUUUAUAUUCAGUUCCACGUUAAGUUCCACGUUAACAUCAGCUCUGUUCGAUCCGAGCUCCAAGGAGUUACAUCAUACUCUCAACAUUGUUUUCAACCAACUCUCAAUCCAUCACCGCAAAGAGGAAUACAGGCUGGCCAGCUGUAUUUCCUGUUUUAAGCUGAGAACUGACAAGCUGGAGAUUUCCGUCGUUUGUACCAACGAGACAACGUUCCUUCAAAAUAAGAGUGAACCUGCUGACGCCUGCCGACUACUACCGGAGUUAUCCUCAGACGGGCGUUGUGUGCUGUGACCGCUGUUUCAACCAGCUCCAGUACAACCGAGGUCUUAGGACCUGGCAAUUCCUGAUCUACAAGGGAGACUCCAUCUACGGUACGUGGCAAUAUGGCGGCUCAUGUCAUCAGCUUCUGAAGCCUCGUGGUAGCCUAGUCAUAACAAACCAGACUCGCUACUCAGCCUAGAGAUUCUGAACAAAACACACACACACACCAACACGAAACAUCUAAAUCCAUAUGCAUUCAUCACUGAGAUAGUCCUGGAAGAUUGUAAGAAUUUAUAAUUAUAGAAAUUAAAGAUUCUUAAACGAUCCCAACUCUCUCUCUUUUCUUGUCUCUCAGUCAAUACAGAGUGUUUAAGUAAACUCCCUGAUGAUAAAAACAACCACUUCUGAUUGAUUACUUAGAUCUAAUUAAGGUGUAUAAAUAUACAAAAUCAGAUAAUUAAAUUAUCUAAUUACAGUGUAUAAAUAUACAACUUCAAAUCACUACACCCAUUAGCUUUAUGGUUCACUUUAGAAUACUGACUAUAACUUUCAAAGCUCUACAUGGCAAAGAAAGAAAGAAAGAAAGAAAGAAAGAAAGAAAGAAAGAAUUAAAGAAAGAAUGAAAGAAAGAAAGAAUUAAAGAAAGAAAGUGAGCUUUUACAUAGUGCCUCUCAAGAUAAAAAUCAUGAGGCGCUACCCAACAACAACUAGACAAAAAUUAUGAUCAUUUUAUGACGUUACCCUUUUAUUUAAAACUGAUUUUGUGUUCUCUGGUUUAAAUUAUCUUUCAUCUUAAUCUUCUUUCUGUGAUGAGUGCUAUCUAAAUAAACUUUAGUUACUACUUACUUUGUGCAGAUUAAAAUAUGAAACUUUGAUUUAAAACAGGGAGAAAAAAUACAUUUUUUUGAAGGUUACUUAAACAAUUAUUUAUUCCAAGAAGUAAUUAUUCAAAUAAAAUGUUGCUUUUUAUUAACAAUGACUCAGUUUUAUUUGUCAGAGCUGUUUGUGCACAUGUGGGACUUGGAUUACAAUGCAAUGUUGGAAGCGUGUAGAUUAAUUAAAUUGGAGCCUCCAGCAUCAUGAAAUCAUUACAAAACCACAAUUAGGCCGCUCACAAUAAACCGAUGACACUGUUAACUUGUCAUGCACAAGCACACAGGAAUAAAUGAGUAAAUAUGAGAUGCUUGACAACAAACCACAUAUGUGAGAGAUGUUGUGCCUUCAGCUACCCAUUUCUGUUCAUUUGUCAAGACAUCAAACAGCACGCACUUCCUGUCAGUGGUGAAUCCAUGUGUGGCUGCACCAUCAUUACAUUACGGCAAACUCAUAAAUAAAAACCUGGAGUCUGAAACCUGCAAACAAGAGUGAUGGCUUCUCUCCAUGCUCCAUUUAUCUCUUUACUCUCUUUUUCUCUUUCUUCCUUGCUGCUCUUAUUUUAUGGUUGUGACCUUCUAACCACAUUGUGCUUUUCCUCCAUGAAGAAAUCUCUCCUCUGACGCUGCCUCAUGUGAAAUUGUACUUGUCACAUGCAGGCGUGUGCAUUGACAAAAUAUGAUCGCACAAAGUCAAACACACAGAUUGGAGGAGAGGAGAUCGUACGCCCCCUCCCUCG